rnacentral:rRNA from 2 species
UGGUGCCAGCAGCCGCGGUAAUUCCAGCUCCAAUAGCGUAUAUUAAAGUUGUUGCAGUUAAAAAGCUCGUAGUUGAAUUUCGGGAUCAGUAGGUUGGUCAUGCCUAUGGUAUGUACUGGCUUUACUGGUUCCUCCUUCUUGAUGAUCUGUAAUGUCAUUAAUUUGGUGUUGCAGGGAGUCAGGACUGUUACUUUGAAAAAAUUAGAGUGUUUAAAGCAGGCAUACGCUUGAAUACAUUAGCAUGGAAUAAUGAAAUAGGACGUUCGAUCCUAUUUUGUUGGUUUCUAGGAUUGACGUAAUGAUUAAUAGGGAUAGUUGGGGGCAUUAGUAUUCAAUUGUCAGAGGUGAAAUUCUUGGAUUUAUUGAAGACUAACUACUGCGAAAGCAUUUGCCAAGGAUGUUUUCAUUAAUCAAGAACGAAAGUUAGGGGAUCGAAGACGAUCAGAUACCGUCGUAGUCUUAACCAUAAACUAUGCCGACUAGGGA